rnacentral:rRNA from 1 species
AUACGGAGGAUCCGAGCGUUAUCCGGAUUUAUUGGGUUUAAAGGGAGCGCAGGCGGCCAUUUAAGUCAGCGGUUAAAUCGUGGGGCUCAACCCCAUUCUGCCGUUGAUACUGGGUGGCUUGAUUGCGGUCGAGGUUGGCGGAAUUCGUUGUGUAGCGGUGAAAUGCAUAGAUAUGACGAAGAACACCGAUUGCGUAGGCAGCUGACCAGACCGCAAAUGACGCUCAUGCACGAAAGUGCGGUGAUCGAACAGGAUUAGAUACCCUGGUAGUCCGCACAGUAAACGAUGAAUACUUGUUUUCGGCGAUAUAAUGUCGGAGGCAAAGCGAAAGCGAUAAGUAUUCCACCUGGGGAGUACGCCGGCAACGGUGAAACUCAAAUGAAUUGACGGGG